UUAUUAUGUGUAAAUUUGUAGAAAGCUAUUCCAAUUCUAUUUAUUAAAUCCUUGUUUGCGCUAUCCAAUCUUGAAAAAAAAGGAAGUGGACUUGCAAUUUUUUAACGCAUUUGAAAUGUCGGACGGUGAUAAAGCAAUAAAUGUAGUUUCGUGCUACACCAGCCGAAGACUUUGGUCGCGCCAAUCGGUUUUAUUCUGGAUCAAUCAAUGCCUAAAGAGCAAUAUUACUAAGGUUGAUCAUCUAUGCACUGGCGCCGCCUAUUGUUGUCUUAUGGAUAUAUUAUUUCCCGAUUCUGUUAAUUUGCGACGAGUCAAGUUUAUAACCAAUCAAGAGAAAGAUUUCGUAAAUAAUUUUCAAAUUUUGCAGCAAGGCUUCAAAAAACAUAACGUCGAUAAACUUAUACCGAUUGAAAAACUCGUAAAAGGCAAAUUUCAAGAUAACUAUGAUUUUAUCAUAUGGUUUCGUCUGUUUUAUAAUGCCAACUUUAGAAAAAUCCCAGAGGGCUAUGAUGUGGAACAAAAGCGAUUUAAUCAACCCUUUAUCGUUGGUACAGUUCCAAAAUUAAAACGAAGUCGCACAGCCGCAACUAUUAAGAAUCAAAGGUUGCCAAGAAUGCGAAGCGCUACACAACAGACAUUGUCCAGAGUUCCAGCUUCAAAUCGUGGCGGGUAAAAUAAAAACAAUGAAAAGCCUUGCUCGGAAAUAUCAACAUUCAAGUAUUAACAAUAUCAAAUUAUAAAUGGAUUCGCCAAUUAUAGACAAAUUGAUGCAGAUGAUGCAUGCAAUAUGAAAUUAAAUUUGCAAUAAAAACAACUAA